UACGUAGGGUGCGAGCGUUGUCCGGAAUUAUUGGGCGUAAAGAGCUCGUAGGCGGUGUGUCACGUCGGCCGUGAAAACCUGCAGCUUAACUGUGGGCGUGCGGUCGAUACGGGCAUCACUGGAGUUCGGCAGGGGAGACUGGAAUUCCUGGUGUAGCGGUGAAAUGCGUAGAUAUCAGGAAGAACACCCGUGGCGAAGGCGGUUCUCUGGGACGGUACUGACGCUGAGACGCGAAAGCGUGGGGAGCGAACAGG
rnacentral:rRNA from 1 species